rnacentral:rRNA from 1 species
AUUGAACGCUGGCGGCAGGCCUAACACAUGCAAGUCGAGCGGAUGAAGGGAGCUUGCUCCUGGAUUCAGCGGCGGACGGGUGAGUAAUGCCUAGGAAUUUGCCGGGUAGUGGGGGAUAACGUCCGGAAACGGGCGCUAAUACCGCAUACGUCCUGAGGGAGAAAGUGGGGGAUCUUCGGACCUCACGCUAUCGGAUGAGCCUAGGUCGGAUUAGCUAGUUGGUGGGGUAAAGGCCUACCAAGGCGACGAUCCGUAACUGGUCUGAGAGGAUGAUCAGUCACACUGGAACUGAGACACGGUCCAGACUCCUACGGGAGGCAGCAGUGGGGAAUAUUGGACAAUGGGCGAAAGCCUGAUCCAGCCAUGCCGCGUGUGUGAAGAAGGUCUUCGGACUGUAAAGCACUUUAAGUUGGGAGGAAGGGCAGUAAGUUAAUACCUUGCUGUUUUGACGUUACCAACAGAAUAAGCACCGGCUAACUUCGUG